AAUCAACGCUGGCGGCGUGCCCCAGACAUGCAAGUCGAACGAUUAAAGCUCUCUUCGGAGAGUGCAUAGAGUGGCGCACGGGUGAGUAACACGUAAGUAAUCUACCCUCGAGUGGGGAAUAACGUCCGGAAACGGGCGCUAAUACCGCGUAAUGCAGCGGCAUCAUAAGAUGACAGUUGUUAAAGAUUUAUCGCUUGAGGAGGAGCUUGCGGCAGAUUAGCUAGUUGGUAAGGUAACGGCUUACCAAGGCUACGAUCUGUAACCGGUCUUAGAGGACGGUCGGUCACACUGACACUGAAUAACGGGUCAGACUCCUACGGGAGGCAGCAGUCGGGAAUUUUGGGCAAUGGGCGAAAGCCUGACCCAGCAACGCCGCGUGAAGGAUGAAGUAUUUCGGUAUGUAAACUUCGAAAGAAUAGGAAGAAUUAAUGACGGUACUAUUUAUAAGGUCCGGCUAACUACGUGCCAGCCGCCGCGGUAACAC
rnacentral:rRNA from 1 species